ACAGUAGCUCAGACAAAAAGGAGUGCAGUGUUGGAUUGUGUCAUAUAUGUACUGUAAAAGAGGAUCAAUUUCAAAAGGAUUAGAAAAUUUCACAGAAGCCACCCUGCCAUCUAUGUAAGCAAAAAUUAAUUUAAUUCUUGUGCAAUGCUUAUUUGUGCUGUUCCUGCAUGCAAAGCCCUCUCAGAACUAAACAGCCAGUCAUUUUAGGAUUCCUCUUACCUACAAGAAAGCCUGAGAAGCAUGGGAGGGAAGAAAAUAGUAGCCCUAAAAGCUGCCCUUGGCCUCUUAGACCUUAGCUUGUAGACGAGACCUUUGGGAUAAAUACUAGCUAGGACAAAUUUGGCUAUUCUGCAAGUUGAAGUAUUUUUCAUUAGAGCAAACAAAAUAAUGCAGAUAUGGAGGAACUUCAAAGGUAGCUUAAAGCUAUUUUUGUACUUUCUACCUCAGCCCACACCUUUGGCUGUAGCUUCAGGAUCUGAAAUCUGUGCACAAAUAGGUUUAAGGAUUUAUCUUUAGAAGUCCCAACACCCUGAGUUAAUAAGAACUGAAAGAAAUUCACUGAAGUCUUACACACAUGGAGUUUCACCAACAGGCAUCUGAGCCAGCACACUCCCCGUUACUUUUAUCUAACCAUUUCCUUUCUCAGCACCUUUGGAUAGGUCGUGGCAGCUACUGUAAGGUGAUCGCUCUUGUACUGCACAGGCCUUGGCGUUCCACAGAGGUGCUGGCGCGCAGGUGCCUGCCAAGGACGGAUGAGCGGCAUGUGGAAACCUCUGGGCUGGUGCCAGACUUCUGCUGGCACUUGAGCCAACAGAUCUCCAGUUCCUGUGCCUGCCUCCACGGCACCUGUUCCCUGGAACCAGUGGAGCACGCCUUGCUCUGGAGCCACACCAGCGUCCGAGCGGAGGCAUGGAGGAGCACACAAGCUAGAAAGCUCUGCCGGGCCCGUGUUCAGGCUCCUUUCCAAAGCUGGCACUCAUCAGGAAGCAAUAAGCAAGAGCCCAAGGAGUGGAGGAUAGGAAACAGCGCUGCGGAGAGGCAGGACACAGCAGAGCUGGCAGGGACUGAGGAUGGGCCAAAGAGGCAGGAUCAAGCUGGUGGGCAAGAAAAGCCAAGGGGAUAACAGCAGUCAGGCUAGCGAGGCAGCAGCAGGCGGUGGCCCACAAGCAGGAACUGGAGGACUGUACUCCGAGCCUAUCUGAACAAAAAAGGAAAUACAUCUGAAAGUAACAGAUGAUACGUAGGCAAAAGCCACACUCGGACUGAGCUUCUGUUUGCCUCCUCCAGCACCACAGGCCUGGCCUGCCACUAAGAGUGGGGAGAAAGAAAACAGCUGAAAAGAAACAAGAGACAGAAGAAACCUAAGAAAGGCAAAAGGAGAGAAGAACAUAGAUGAUGAGGAAUGAAGGGGCUGCAUUUGGGUUUUUUCAAGCUUGCGCCACUGUUGAGCCUUCCUGAGCAUAGAUCAUUAGCUCUUUCUGAUACUGUUCAUGGGGAAGAAGCACACACAAAAAGUGACUCACUUUGACAGCCAGGCUGCCCACAUCAGGCAUUUGAUGUUUUUCUAAAAAGACCUUAUCUCAAAUGAUAUUUGCAAUGUUUUCUGUGUGCAAAGUUAAUCUAUCAUUUUAACAGCUUGGCAGUUCUUGCUCUAUCCUAGUGGAUCCAAAGAGUCUUCCUUGAUUUACUGCAGUAGUUCUUGAUGGGUUUAAAUUUCAGAUAGUUGCAUUCUGCAAAAGCCAGAGUACUUCACAGAAAGUUAUGCUGCUAGGGAAGGGCAGAGUUGUUUUCACACAUGCCAGAAACUCCUGGUGAUUACAACGCGCACUACAGAUACACAACUCCCUCUGAUUUAAUUCAGGCCUACAGAUGUGAAGUUUCAUGAUUUACGAGUUAUUCAUGACCACAGAGUUUUGGUGUCAUGGCUGGGGUUAGCUGCUCUGUCAGGUCACACACAGAGCUGUCUGUCACAGGAGGAUGUAGCACACUGGCUGCAGAGCCUACAAGCUGUUUAGGGCAGCAAGCAGCUAAUGGGCUGGCAGCUUGCAACGGCCACAGUGCCAUCUGUGGUAGCUGUAACACAACUGCCCGGUACACAAAAACAAAAAUCUGGAUACCAACCGGGUUUUGUUUCUCUGCCUUCCCCUCCUCCCCAACCCAGUGGCCAUCUAACUGCAAGGAGAUUGUAAAAGCUGGGGGCAUUAGGAAAGAAUUAUUUGAGUAUUUUUAACACUGAAGUGCCAUUUAUCUAGGCUUCCUUUCAAUCCUGUCUUGUAAGGAAAGGGCUAGAAAGUUACCUUUAGAGAAGCACUGAUAUUUUACUUUGCCUUUCAGGUUUCUUAAAUUAGGUCAGUUUUACAAAGAACCACUUUGCUGUUUAGCGGUUUUUAAUGUGACAAUCUCAAAGCAACUGAUAAUCAAUUAAUUCACAACCUUGAUUUUGGAUUUGUUAUUCCCAUUUUCAGUAUAGACACUGAGGCGGAGAAGAGUUCGAUAGCCUGCCAGACUCCACACAAUACAGCAGUCGCAGAACUGAGAACAAGGAGUCAGCAUGCUGUAUAUACCCUUGGCAGCUUCCUAGAGCCAAACAAGCAAAACCUGAGCCGAUGCAAUGCACGCAUCCCCAGGAGAGUUUUAGUGGACAUCCUAGGCCUUUUAAGCUUACAUAGCAAGGACACACUUGCCCACUUACCACACAGGGUUUUGCAAGCCUUCUUGCAUUUUACCUUCUCUGUUAUCCUAUGUGUAAAAAUCUAUAAUGGGACUAGACAGAGACAGACAACAAAAAUUAAAGUUGGAGAAGGGACAAAUUCAAUUAACUCCUCCUUUCACACAGUAAUUGUUUCUAAUUCUUCAGUAUACAAAUUAAGCAACUCCUACAUCCUUAAGAAAUGCUCAAGCACUAUAAAGCCAAUUUAAGAAGAGAUGCAUAAAAGGACAGAAAAAUUCUAUUUCUGACCAUCAGUUUUAACAAAAAACAUACAUAAUUACCACCACCCUUCCUCUAUAAACUCUUAGGUGUGGGGGUUUAAAUGAAGGACCUAUUAAGGGCAGGAGAGGAACACAGAAGUUUCAGCAGCUUGAAUUUGCCUCCAACUUUCUCCCGAUGUCUAAAAAAGACAGGGGGAGCUUCCCUGUUGUACCCUCUGCUGCAUAUGAGCUCCAGAUGCACGCAUACUGUUUCCAGAGUCAGAGGAUACAGAUGUCAUUAAAUAUGCUGGUGAUCUGCUCCAGUCUAUUGAAAUUUUUUUAUUUGAGAUCAACACUAAAAAGGUAUUUGAAGACUCAGCAUGAAGAGGGGAAACAACAGCAAUGAAAGCUGUAGCUCCCUUAUUACCAAAGCAAGGUUCAGGUCACAGAUUAUACUCAGUAAUGUGAAACAGAAGUCCUGACAAUGGAUUAAGGAGAAAUCUUGCAGAACCUCUGAAGAAACUAAGCAAAGUUCCAGUUUGGUGUUUUCUUCUCACAUGAUAUUUGGCUUAUGAAGUAGCUUUUUAAGUACCAGCCAGUGUUCCUUUAAUAGGAUCCCAUCUAUACAUUCAAAUUCAGUCAUGGCUUCCACUGCACUGUACUGAUUGCUAUAGUGCUCAUUUCCUCAUUCUGAAUUGCACAUGCAUUUCUUUUCUCAUUUCUUAUUCCCUCCUUGUCAGAUCUAUCAGCCUUGUAUUACCUUGUAUUACUCUGUUGCUUAACCUCUUCUAGGUUCCCUUUCCAGUGCACUUGCUUCAUUGAGAACUAAGUAACCAAAGGCUCAGUUAUUCUACUUGAAUAAAAUAAACAUUUUAAGCAGAA